rnacentral:rRNA from 1 species
UUCCAGACUCCUACGGGAGGCAGCAGUGGGGGAUAUUGCACAAUGGGGGGAACCCUGAUGCAGCGACGCCGCGUGGGCGAUGGAGUGCUUCGGCAUGUAAAGCCCUAUCAGCAGGGAAGAAAAUGACGGUACCUGACUAAGAAGCCCCGGCUAAAUACGUGCCAGCAGCCGCGGUAAUACGUAUGGGGCAAGCGUUAUCCGGAUUUACUGGGUGUAAAGGGAGCGUAGGCGGCCUGGCAAGCCUGAUGUGAAAUGCCGGGGCCCAACCCCGGGGCUGCAUUGGGAACUGCCAGGCUGGAGUGCCGGAGAGGCAGGCGGAAUUCCUAGUGUAGCGGUGAAAUGCGUAGAUAUCAGGAGGAACACCGGUGGCGAAGGCGGCCUGCUGGACGGCGACUGACGUUGAGGCUCGAAAGCGUGGGGAGCAAACAGGAUUAGAUACCCCAGUAA